rnacentral:rRNA from 1 species
AUUGAACGCUGGCGGCAGGCCUAACACAUGCAAGUCGGGCGAGCGGGGGAGGGGUGAGUAAUGUAUGGGGAGUGCCUGAGGGGGGGGGAUAAACACUGGAAAGGGUAGCUAAUACCGCAAUCCAUAAGAUAACACAUAUGGGAUUAGCUUGUAGGUGAGGUAACGCCUCACCUAGGCGACGACCCCUAGCUGGUCUGAGAGGAUGAUCAGCCACACUGGGACUGAGACACGGCCCAGACUCCUACGGAGGCAGCAGUGGGGAAUAUUGCACAAUGGGCGCAAGCCUGAUGCAGCCAUGCCGCGUGUAUGAAGAAGGCCUUCGGGUUGUAAAGUACUUUCAGUCGGGAGGCGUUACCGACAGAAGAAGCACCGGCUAACUCCGUGCCAGCAGCCGCGGUAAUAC